AUCUGCACCGCCGAUCGUCAUCGACUCUACUUCCCGCUGCGCUACGAGUCGUGACCUAGCUAGAAGAUGGGGCUACGCGUUGUUCUGACAAAGCUAAAUGAGCAAGCUGAAAGAAGAGAGAGCAAGUUGAACGGACUGAACAAGCUGAACAACAGGUGGCAAAUGGGAAUCUCUUGUGAUAUGAAUGGGUGCAUCCAUCAGCUUGGUGUACUCAAGGGAAUCUCAUGUGAGGCCGCUGGGCGCAUGCACCGUCUCUGUGUGCUGUCACUUCAACGAGCACCGCGUGGGCUGCAAGACCUCCUGCCAGGCCUAGUCCUGCCAGCCUUGUCUCACCUCCCGUCGCUCUUUGUCUCCUUAUUAAAUAAAGCCUGCUAAUUAGCCUGGUAUUGCAAAGAUUCUGCACCUGUAAAGUAAGUGGCACGAAUCUUGUACUCGGCGAAUCGGACGAGAUAAUCGGGUGUCGGCACACCCGGGUUCCAUCACACCUUUCCGGACU